CUUGCUAAUAUUGGAGGAGUAGAUUUGAUGAGGAGGCGGGAAAGGAGCUACUUGAGAUAUUAAAUAUGCUUUGCUGCUGGGUUGAGGAUCCUAAUUCAGAGGCCUUCAAAUUGCAUUUGCCAAGAAUCUAUGAUUAUAUCUGGGUUGCUGAAGAUGGCAUGAAAAUGCAGGGAUAUAAUGACAGCCAAUCAUGGGACACUGCAUUUGUUGUCCAAGCAAUCAUAGAAGAAUUAUCAUCAUAUCUGGCUAGCAAAUUUUGUAGCCGGAGGUGAACGAUGUUCGGCCUUCCAGUUGGUGGGGGCUUGUAGAGAAAUCCUGGGGCAUUUCACAGAAGUAUUCCCACGUGCUUCCAUUUUACUCGAAUUUUGAUCAGGU